AAAAACUGACCUCUCCUCAUGCCGUGAAUCAAUAGGGAAGAAGAGAAAACACUCAAGCUGCAUAUCCCCUUCCUAUCUUCACACCUCAGCCGGGUGAGCAUGGCAAAGGAGAGAAAUUAAAUCGGACCUGGUCAAUGGUUAAAGGCAUAACAAAUUCACUUAAGAUUGGUUCUAUACAUGCGCGGGUCAAGGAACCCUGCCUGCAUCCCUUUGUUCCAUCAUCCUCCCAAACCGUGAAUCCAUAGGGAGAGAGAGCAGAAACACUUAAGCCCAUUCCCCAUUCCUCCCUUGCUUCAGUCGAGUGGCAGCAAUUAAGGAGCUGCAAUAGAAAGCUCAUUUUGCAUUUUUUUUCUUUGUUGGCCGUAGACCAACUUUCAUGGAGCUGUGAUCGACUCCUUUCUCCCUUGCAUGCAAUGGAACCGGUCUAUUGGAGCAUAGGAAGAAGUGUUAGGGCUGUCCUUACUGGAUUGUGGUUAUUGGAGCGCUUGAGAACAGGCCUACGAACUACUAAGGAAGUGGACUGAUUUGGUGAUACGUCUGUUUAAAAAGUUGUAAAGGUCACAGGAGGACGAUAGAGCAUUCAAGGACUUGGAAUAUUUGGAUAUUUGUUGUACUUCUGCUGCUUGGACAUACUGCUAUUGCUGUUUUAUUUUAUGGAUGACUGUAUGAAUUUGAGGGGUUUGUUUGACUGUUGGAC